GUGUCACAACAGAGGUAACCCCGUGGGAGUCACGAGGAGACUAAAAUUAUCUCCAAUUGUGCAGGAGAGAAAAGUUUCACUGAAGGCAGGUGUAGUUCAGCUAAGCCCUACAGCACAGAAGUAGGAAUGUGGGUGCCUGGAGCCAGACUCAGCCUACAGCUCUCUUCUGCUCGCCUGGAGGUGAAACAAGGUGUCAUGAUUAAUCAAAUCCCGUCUUCACUCAUCAAGAUACCCAAAGCCCCUUGCCUUUGGGGAGGCGGAUUUGAGACCUAUUGUCACGUCACGUCCUCACUUGGCUGCCCUGUGAAUAAACCUCCUCUUUGCUGCAAACCUCAGCAUUUCAGU